UACGGGGGGGAGCAAGCGUUGUUCGGAUUUACUGGGCGUAAAGGGCGCGUAGGCGGUCGUGACAAGUCACUUGUGAAAUCUCCGGGCUUAACUCGGAACGGUCAAGUGAUACUGUCGGACUAGAGUACAGAAGGGGCAACUGGAAUUCUCGGUGUAGAGGUGAAAUUCGUAGAUAUUGGGAAGAACACCGGUGGCGAAGGCGGCGACCUGGUCCUUGACUGACGCUGAGGCGCGAAAGCGUGGGGAGCAAACAGG
rnacentral:rRNA from 1 species